AUUGAACGCUGGCGGCAUGCUUUACACAUGCAAGUCGAACGGCAGCACGGGAGCUUGCUCCUGGUGGCGAGUGGCGAACGGGUGAGUAAUACAUCGGAACGUACCCUGAAGUGGGGGAUAACGUAGCGAAAGUUACGCUAAUACCGCAUAUUCUGUGAGCAGGAAAGAGGGGGAUCGCAAGACCUCUUGCUUUAGGAGCGGCCGAUGUCGGAUUAGCUAGUUGGUGAGGUAAAGGCUCACCAAGGCGACGAUCCGUAGCGGGUCUGAG
rnacentral:rRNA from 1 species